UACAGAGGUCCCGAGCGUUGUUCGGAUUCAGCGUGGGCGUAAAGGGUGCGUAGGUGGUGAGGUAAGUCGGAUCGUGAAAUCUCCGGGCUCAACCCGGAAAUGGCAUUGGAAACGUACCUUGCUUGAGGGUUUGAGGGGGGAUUGGAAUACUUGGUGUGAGCAGUGAAAUGCGUAGAUAUCAGGAGGAACACCGGUGGCGAAGGCGGGUCUCUGGGCCGUAACUGACGCUGGAGGAGCGAAAGCAUGGGGAGCGAACAGG
rnacentral:rRNA from 1 species